CAGUGAGCGAGUGCCAGUCUCCUGCUUGGACACAGUGAAUGUCCUUAAGCCUCAACAAAAUGACUAACGCGUCUUUAAAGUUUCUCUUAGAAGGGUCACCACCUUCUGAGGAAGUUCAAAGAAUAUAAAAUCGAACGUUUGGGGAGGAAAUCGGCUACAUUUUGCUCUGGUGUUUUCAGGCGAUGGGCAUUUAGCGCAUUAAUUACGCAAGACCCGCUACAUUUUAAAAGUCAUUUGAAGAUUUGGGGAAGAGAUCCAAAGUGUUGUGAGACCGACGGCCUUUCGUGUUGAAUCAAGACGGCUUCCACUCACAGAAGUGCUUCUAACCUAAGUGGAAAUUGAAUUCAGGCCCAGCAGCAGGUAAGAGUGCCUGGUCCGGGGAGUGGGGAGUCUUAGGGGGUUCUUUCUCCAUGGGUUUUGAAAGCAAAGUUGCCCUUCGGAGAGCACGACGCGGUGAACGCUGAUGUGACAGACUGAGCCCGGGAGGCCACAUCACAAACACACGCCGGCCAGAAAUCCUUAUUAAUGUCACUGAGAUCACUUCAAAUUUAUGGUAUCGACAGUGAUGCGAAUAAUGAUCGCACAAGGGCCGUAAUGGCAGGACCCGGCAAAGAGGGUCUGUUUUCUUCAUCUGGAUUUUUAUUUUCUGUAAUACGUGAGAAAACCGAAUCGGGGGAUGGGCUUUCGUGGUUGCCAGGAAACAGGUGUUUACGUUGUGAAGAUAAGUGUUUGUCAAAUAUCAGUCAUUUCAACCACCCUUUGGGCAUCUUCCGCUCCGCAGAGGUGCCCGCUGAUAAUGGCCCGCUGAUCUGCCAGCAACAUCAUGCAGAGAAGUUUCUGGCGAGGGUUCCUUUCUGUUGCAUAUAGAUGUCCAGGCCUCUGUCAACUCUGCACCAGCCAAAGCCCUGAAACGAUUCGGGGGAAGUCAAUAUUCCAAGAAAGGCUUUUCCUCAGAAGAAAACCCGGUUUCACACCUGGGUUGAGGAUCUCUGUCAGGACGAGCCCUCUCGGUCUUUCCACCGAGGGGGAGCCGCUUGCCAGAAAAAGCGAAUUAACUGCGUUAAGCUUCGAAAAGGAAAAUUAAGUGGGCUUUAGCAUUUUUUCAACCUGUUUUCUAUUACCUGGUAACACCUUUUAAGGGAAGUUGAAAACACUGUAGUUCUUCAAAACCUAAGUGGAAAAUUGGGGUAGAAACUAUCUUCAGCCAUGGAACAACUGUUGUCUCAGAAAGUCUCUAACGUCCAUAAUUCUAUUGAGUAAAUGCCAAGAAACACCCAGCAAUUGUCAAGAUUAACUGGUAAAUCAAUCCUGUUUCGAAAAAUCACUGAAACGCCUAUUGCCAGGCAUCUGACCCUCUCCUACCCAAUGUGUUGCUGAUGUGGGGUUGUCCACACGGCCUUGGGGUCCCCAAACCUUAAGUCAACUAGGACUACAAGCUGAUUAGCGCCCAGCAGGAUGCACACCAGUGACAGGAAAGUGACAAUCUGCACAGAGUUCACUUACGCUUCGCGAGAACAGAGACUGAGAGGCGUGCCCUGACCACUGGGCAGGAAAGACAGGGAUCAUGUCCCCACUAGCCUCAGAUGUCAACUACGAUCAGCUUCUAGUUUCCAAAGUAACAAAAUAAAUGAUUAAUUAACACUUAGAUGUCACCAUGUACUUUUUGCAUUUAGAAAUCUGCGUAGCUUGCCGAUCCGAAAAAACGUUACGGACAUCUUUAAAUGGAAAUGUCCAGGUACCGCCUUCUCAAAUAUUUAUAGUCUUCCAAGCUUUUCAUGGCCUUUAGAGACUGAUCAGCGGUCCUUUAACCAGCAUCAAAUACAUCAUGAGAAAAGAAAUAAAAACAAAAGACGCAAAUGAGACCGAGAAAAGCAAGACUUAGAAGCUGUCUGUCUGAUUCUCGGUCGGUUGCCUAGGCAGUUUUAUUAUUUUAGAAACCAUACGAAAGAACUGUGUAUUAGUUAACUUAUUCAUUCUGGAGAGAAAUGGCCCCAGCCAGUGGCUGUCUCACGGCGUCAGGGAAAGCCAGGUCAUCAUUCCCCCGCACACGACGGCGAGGAGCAGGCUGUCCGCACAGAGCCGGGGGAUUUCUCCUGGGGUCCUCACUGGUGGGCUCUCGGUGCCUCUCUCGGCUGCUUUAUUCACCAAGAAGAGCGCGAUGUGGGGUCGAGGCAGUGACGUAGUCCCAGUAGGAGCACGAAACCUUCCACAUUUCCACCGCCCAGAGCUCCGCGUGGGCUGGCUCGGAGCCGAAAGCCGAGUGGCCCCGCAGGGUGACGUGUCUGCGGAGGGACAGCGCGCCUGCCCCCGGAGCGCGUGCGUGCACCUGCAGCCUCACUGCGGGCAGCGACGGGGAGCCCUGCCCCGCCCGGCACCCUGGCACCAGGAUCGUGUGUUCGGCUGGAGUCCUAGCCUCACCUAGCCGGACUUUCCCCGGGGCCCGGCUGCCCGCUGCAUCACCAUAGCAAUGGACAAACACGGUGAGAGUCGGCAGGGCCCCGCAGCUGCGGAAACCCUGCCCUCCUGGCCGCCCCGCGGGAGGGGCCGGGCUAAUUUCCAUGCGGCGUUUGGGGAUGUUGGGAUUCAGAGAUCAAAGAAGGUCAAAGGGGGCCGUUGGAAUGGCAGAUAUUUAUUGUGUUUAAUAUAAAUACAAACGUGUCCAAGAAGAGAAACUGAAACCUUAACAGGCCUGUGGAUGGCGUUUGGUAAACAGAAAAGAACACAUCUUGAAAGCAGGCGGCUGGUGAAAUUGACUGGCACUGCAGAAGCUGUCGCGAUUUAAACUGGGACAAAUUAAGACAGCAACAAUCUUCACCGACAUUGAACAUACACAUUAGUUGAAAACCCUGAGGAAGACGUCUAGCUGCACUUUAGAAACGCUUUGGGAAACCUUCUGGCCACAAAUGCAAACACAGCCCAGCGCACUUUAGAAAUUUCUGGUCGCCCUCCUUAGCUGCGCUCGUUGUAUUAUUAAGAGUGUUUGUUUCAUACCAUUAACUGUGCAGUCAAGUUGGAGCCCGUUAAACAGCAUUAAUUUGACAAAUUGUGGGAUGGGGGUGUGAGUGCCAGCUGGAGAAAGGAGCUUUGUGUUUCGGGGUCUCCAUUAGUGAAACAAUAAAUAAGGCUAUGGUAAAACUGAUAUGAUGGGAAAUGACUUCUAUUCAGUUAACUCAAUUAUUAGUGCUAAUUGGGGCCAGGUGAAGCAUGGAUAAUUGAAAUUCACAGAUAAUCCAAAAACCUCUAUUUAACCAAUAACUUCAAACUUCUUCCCCAUCAAACCAAUUACCAGAGGAGCUAACAAAUAGAAAAAAUGGAUUAAAUUGAAUUUUGCCUCCCCAAAGAUUACCACUAUGAUGUCUUUCUAUUGAUUAAUCCACAACAAGAGCCAAGGGUUGACUGCAUUCAAGAGACUAAAUUACAGACAGUCCCCAACAAUUGAAAAGGAAAAGGCUACGUCCCAAAGUUGAUGACUCCACUACCUGAAGCUCAGAAUGCUUUUUCGCAGAGCACCAUAUUCCUCAGGGGCUCUGAGGCAGCCCCGAGGGGCCAACUGGUGACCUAGUGACACUGGAAAUAUAUUUAGCAUCCUAACUCCUUUAAUGAAUCCCCUCUGAAUCCUAAAGCCUUAUCCUCCAGCCCCUAAAUCUCUCUGAGCCCUAAAUCUAAGGGUUUUUUUUUAGUUGCGGUAAAUUCACAUAAGGUUAACAACCAUUGUGAGUUGAGUGUGCACGUCAGUGACAUCUAGAACAUUCACGAGGCUGUGCGACCACCCGCCUCUAUCAACUGUCUCAACAUUUUCAUCACCCCCAAGAGAAACCCCUUUGGGACCCUCAGCAGCCACUGCCUGUUGUCCCCUCCUCCCAACCCCUGGCGACCGCAGAUCGACUCACUGGAGCUAUGGGUUCCCCUGUUCUGGACAUUCCAUGUCAACGGAAUCAUGCAACAUGUGGCCUUUCGUGUCUGGCUUCUUUCACUGCCAUACUCUAUUUAAGGUUCAUCCGUGUGAUCGCAUGUGUGAGGACGUCCUUCCCUUUUAUUGCCAAAUGACUCUCCGUGGUCUGGACGGACCACGCGUUCUUGACCCACCUGUCAGCUGAUGGACGCUUGGGUUGUCUCCAUCUCGCGGCCACGUGCAACCGUCACCCCUAAGGUUGCACCCUGACAUGCCCUGCCCUCGGAGGAAAUGGGAAGUGGAGGGGGAAGGGUGGACAGAAGCUUGGGAAGCAGGGGGGCCCUUGUGGCGGAGCAUGGGGAGGCUCCUCCUGUGCGCCGGGCCGCGGCACUCCCAGGCGCUGGCAUCUGGGGCGGGCAGCGUCCCUCCCACAGGGCUGCCGUCGGCAGGGACAUUCCGCUAGAAGCAUCGACAGUGAGGGAUAAUUCAAGACAGCGUCAACCAUGGUGGAGAACACAGGGAGACAUGGAACCCGUCAGAGAGGGGCACGAGGGAGGCCGGAGGAGGCCCGCUGGGGGCAGGUACCUCCUUCAGAUUCGGGUGUCGCUGGUUCCCAAGACGGAGAGCAGAACUGGACUGACCCAGCGAGAAAUCUGGCAAGUGUCGUUGGCCUGUUCUCCGCUUUUCUGAAAACACAGGCGCCAGGAGAGGUUUCCAUAGCAGCUUCCAAAUUGGACACCAAACUUCACUCAGCAGGACAUUGAUAGUUUUCCAUUUCUCCUUUUCCACGUUUCGUCACUUUUCUUGGCGUCCUACAGUUUGUAAAAGGUACAAAUGGCGGCCGCCAUGCUUGCGGGCGCUGAAGGACCCGGUCAAGCCCAAACCAGGUUCUGGGAGCCGUGGACAAGUCUGUCCCCUGGACAGACUGCAGACCCAAGCUCCGCUUCUGGGCAGCCCCAAACGGCCGUGGUCAUCCUUUGUUUCUGCUUCUUCACCCACCUCGCUGAAUCUCCGUCAGUCUCCAGAGAAGUCUCCGUGCCUUCCCCAGUUCCACCAUCCUGCCCAAUGACGCGUCUGCAGGUGACACGCUGGCACGUUGUUAACAGGAACAGAGUUGACACCAACUUUUACUCUCCUCUCUCCUCCUCCGAAUCACCUGCCUUUCUCUCCCGGCCUUGAGGGGCGGUGCACCUCUCUACUGCUGAGGUCAGUCUGUCCUGGGUCCUUUUCACCAUCAUCGUCAUCUAUGGUCAGGUCAUUUCCCACCCACUCAGUUUUUAUUCUUCUCUUGGUCAACACGCGUGUCCACAUUCUUCCAGCUGGAAAACCGGCCACAAGGACCGGGGAGGGUGUCCCAAAGCCCCUGAGCGCCCAGCGCCUCCUUACCCCGCGAUCCGGCUGUGGAGACCGCACUACCGCAUGAACCGUGUGGCGGACGGACGGCAGGUGCUAAGGAGGAGGUUCACGCAGGAAGUGUGCGUGGGUGCGCGGGACGCCCCUCAGAACACACGCGCGUGCACCCCGAAGAUGACACCCAGGCCGCUGACCCAGGAGCAGCUUCUACUGCCUUCCUUCUGCCCUCGUCCAUUUCCCGUACUUUCCGCGAGCAACACAUGAACACGCGGCGACUUUUAGCGAGCACUGAGCUAAGAGCUGUAGUGCCCUGGCUCACUUAACUUUUCCAGCUGCUCUGAGGAUUGUCCCCUUAUGACCCCUGUCUUAUAGACAAGGGAGCUGAUGCUUUGAGUGCCCGAGAGGCCUCCGGAGCCGACCGGCCCCCCAGUGCUCUCACACCUGUGGCUGUGAAGCGGGAGCGGGUCCCCAUGGCCAGGGCUGGCGGGACGUACACCCGGAAGAAUUGAAGGAGGCGGGAUGGGUGGCAGCAGAAGGUGGGCUGAAGAGCCCUGAGCGGGGAGAGCCCUCACACGGACCGUCACUGGAAGUGGGCGGCGUCUAGGGGGCCUUGGUAAGCUUGCAGGGCAGGUCCUUCCGGGCGAGGCGACUCUGGGAGUCGUCCUCAGCUGUAGGCUGUCACCACCCUGGAGGGGUGAGGGGUGAGGAGCUUCAGUUCCGAGGGGGAUCUGGAUGGCCCGCUGUGUGCCCACGACAAACACCCACAGACUCUCGAGGGCACAUUCAAAUCUCACUUCCCCCAGGGAGCGUUCCUCGAUUACCCUGAUCAGGAUGGGCCCUAACGACCCCACAAAAAUACCUUUUGCCCGCUGGGUGAUCACCUUCUCCCUUCCCCCCGUCGGGCCCUGGUGAUCUCCAAUCUGUCUUCUCUCCUGGACAUCGCCUACAAGAAGAACCACAGUACGUGUCCUUCUGUGCCUGGCCUCUUUCACUGGGCAGAGUUUGUCAAGGUUUGUUAGCACUGCAUUUUUGGGUCUCCCCCCAAAUUUACGUGUUGAACCCUUAACCCCCGGUGUGAUGGUAUGAGGAGGUGGGGCACUGGGAGGUGAUUGGGUCAUGAGGGGGAUCGGUGCCCUCAUAAACCAUGGGGAGCCAUGGGAUUUCUGUCCACUUGGGGAGCACACCGCGAGGAGGCACCAUCUACAGGCCAGGAAGACGGUCUUCACCAGAUCCGGGCUCUGCCGGCACGUCCCUAUCAGACUUCCAGCCCCCAGAACUGUGACAGAUACGUGUCUGUUUGUUCAAGCUGCUGUGCCUGGGAUACUGUGCUAGGGACGCCUGAGUAGAUUAAGCAGGUGCAUCCUGGGAAGCGGUUCGGGACCUGGGGGCAGCUACAGAUGCACAGCUACCUUCAGUAGCAAGAGUGAUGGUUAUCAUAUAAAAUUCAUCAUCCAGGAGCACCUGGGUGGCUCCCUCAGUUGAGCGUCCGACUCUUGGUUUUGGCUCAGGCUAGGAUCUCGCGGUCCGUGGGUUCGAGCCCCGUGUCGGGCUCUGUGCCGACAGCUCAGAGCCUGGAGCCUGCUUCGGAUUCUGCGCCUCCCUCUCUCUCUGUCCCUCCCCCGCUCACACUCUGUCUCUCUCUCUCUCUCUCUCAAAAAUAAAUAAACAUUAAAAAAAUAAAAUAGAAUUCUUAAUCUGUACCUCGGCCAUCAAAAGGACAAAGCCCAGAUGAUACGCUGCAUAAAAUAAUCACCACCCUUGUUGCUGAAGAGAAUUGUAUGUUCACACCUGCUCCCUGGCCCCACACUGUGCCCUUGGCUGUCAGAUCCUUGGCUCUUGGGAUCUCUCACCUUGGUUCUUGAGACCAUCUCUCCUUGGCUCUUGGGAUCUCUCUUGGGAUCCCAAUAUUUUAGGGAAAAUAUUGAAAAACAGGUAGCAGUAACCGUUUUCAAUAUUUUAGUGUACGUAUUUCUUUUAUUUUAAUCGUUUAUUAAGUUUCAAGCAUGCAAUAUAGUGGUUCCACAGUGUUUCUCAGUGCCGGUCACGAUAGGGGUAUGCUUAGUCCCCAUCACCCAUUUCGCCCAUCAUUUGUCUUAUUUUUAAGGAAAUAUAUACAUCCACAUGAUUUGUCAUAAAGUUCAGCUCCCACACAUCCUGAGGAGUUUUAUAGCAUCCGAACUCUUUUUGAUACUCAUGGGAUAAAGCCAUCGUCAGCUCGGUCUUAUUGUCAAAUAUCCUUUCUUUCUCUACUACAGGAAAUGUGUUUCUUUACAAAAGGGUCAGUUGAGGAAAACUCUCACUUAUUCUCGUCCUUCUGAUGAAAUUUUCCAGUUCAGAGUCCGCUGCACCCGCACCAGAAUGCCGUAUGCUUAUUAGCGCAUCGAGUACCUUGAGGCUAUGAUUAGGCACCUGCACCCCGUUUCUUAAAACCUCUGCCUUCAAAAGUUAUGGGCAGAAGACAGAGGACCUGCUUCUGUGGCUGAGCUACGUGCCUCACUGUGCCCCUGGGCCUUGAGAGAAUCUGCCCCCAUGAAUCGGGGAUGCGGUUGGUGUUUCUAGAAGGUCACAGGACAUGGUUGUUCUUCAAGAUUUGGGAGGGGGGGCAGGAAUCACUCUGAGUCUCGUGGGGGGUCCUGGCUCUUCCGACCACUUGUGCUUGGGGGUGCUGGCCCGUGGGGCAACCGGCUGAAACCACAGCAGCCUGGAGACCGAGGUCUAAGCAGGGGUACAGCAGAGGCUGUCCGAGGAGGAAGGGCCUCUCGUGUGCUGCUAGACCUGGCUGUCGUGGGGCGAGGGCCACGACGUCAGCCCUGUAGCAGGCCAGCUGGCAGAGGUCCCCAGCUGCCACCCGAGUCUUACCUCGUUCUGGUCUGGGGGACACUGCUUGUCGUGGCCUGACGUGUUUGGAUCUGUCAAGAGGGAACCUUUUUUCUCACAAGACACAAGAACAAAGCGUGGGAUUAGUUUUAUGUGAACUUGGAUGUUCCCAUUUAGCUGAUAGGAAAAGCAUGGCGUAGUGGCUACAAACAAUGCUGGCUCGCCCGCUCGGCACCUGUUAGAAGCCCUGCUGGGCCUCAGUCUCUCCGUCUGAACACAGGGACGACGAGGGUGCCGAGGCACCCAGGUCCACGAGCCUGGUGUGAGGCUUAAGCCAGAUAAUGUUUUUAAGGCACUCGGGACAAUGCCCAGCACAACGUAAGUGCUACAGACAAGUUCCGUGCAAUAAGCCCGUUCAAAACUACACACCAAAGCGCGUUGACAGGUGUCAGGAAAGGGGGCAGCGACUUGACCUGCCGUGGGGAGAAGAUCAUCUCCUCCUGCGCCCUCAGCGUAUUCCGUUGUAAACCAGGCAUGAAGCACGCGUGUGUGUUCGUGGGCGUCCCUCCGGGGGUUGUGGCGCUCCGAUCGUGGGUGCCCACCGGCCACUCGCCCUGGAAAAAGUCGGCCAAGGAGGUCAGCAGACUACGGGAAGGAGGACCUCAGGAAACAGUGUGUUUUCUGAGGCUCGUGGGUCAAACACAACUGGCCCUCGUUUGCUGGUUUCCAUCAGCGACUGUCUUCCGCGGAGCCGACAGGCAACCUGACAGGUGCAAGAGGAGGUCUGUGUCCAGAACAAGACAACCUCAGGUCACUUCACACCCCUCCUGGGAAGGCGUUCGCCUGCGCAUGGGGGCCCAGUGGUACCAGGAUCAGCCCUUCCCCGGGGCACGGCCGCCUCCUCUUAGCCACGGUGACCACGUUGUAGAGAGAGCAGGGCACGCAUGUAUGACACUGGCUAACGCACGGAUCCCAAGUGACUGUCCCAGAGGUGCCUCUGUUUACCGGUGAAUCAUCUCCGCUGAAGCCACUGAGAAUUCACAUCCGAGGGAAGAAAGCCGUCCAGUCCCAGCUAAUUCGUGGAACGCUACUUGACGGAAUUUGCUUAUAAUAUUAACGAUUCCUGGGGCGCCUGGGGGGCUCCAUCAGUUAAGCGUCCGAUUCUUGACCUCGGCUCAAGUCAUGAUCUCGAGGUUCAUGAGAUCGAGCCCCGUGUCGGGCUCUGUUCUAACAGCGUAGACCCUGCUUGGGAUUCUCGUUCUCUCCCUCUCUGUCUGCCUCUCCCUCUCUCAGAAUAAAUAAAACACUAAAAAAUAAUUUCGAAUAUCUCCCAGGAAAAUACAGCAUUUAGGAGCUUUGUAAGUCCGCACGAAGGCAACAUUAGAAUUUCACACAGAGCACCCCAAAAUGAGGUGCUGGGACAGGGAGCAAGACCAGUGUC